UACGUAGGGGGCAAGCGUUGUCCGGAUUUAUUGGGCGUAAAGAGCGUGUAGGCGGCUUGGUAGGUCCGUUGUGAAAACUCGAGGCUCAACCUCGAGACGUCGAUGGAAACCAUCUAGCUAGAGUCCGGAAGAGGAGAGUGGAAUUCCUGGUGUAGCGGUGAAAUGCGCAGAUAUCAGGAAGAACACCCGUGGCGAAGGCGGCUCUCUGGUACGUGACUGAUGCUGAGACGCGAAAGCGUGGGGAGCAAACAGG
rnacentral:rRNA from 1 species